rnacentral:rRNA from 1 species
GACGUAGGGCGCGAGCGUUGUCCGGAUUUAUUGGGCGUAAAGAGCUCGUAGGCGGCUUGUCGCGUCGAAUGUGAAAUCUCAGGGCUCAACUCUGACAUUGCAUUCGAUACGGGCAGGCUAGAGUUCGGUAGGGGAGACUGGAAUUCCUGGUGUAGCGGUGAAAUGCGCAGAUAUCAGGAGGAACACCGGUGGCGAAGGCGGGUCUCUGGGCCGGUACCGACGCUGAGGAGCGAAAGCGUGGGGAGCGAACAGG